AUAUAAGAGAAAAGGAGAUAGAUAUUAUGAUCUUUUAAAUGGAAUUCUUCAUUUAGGUACAAUUUAGUAGCUUGUCCUUCUGGUCAGUGAUUAGGUAUUCAACCUUUACAAGUUCCCAUUUCUGUGGAGUACAGGCUAGAAGCACCACAAUAAUGAGAUAUUUCCAUUAUUCAGAUGAAAUGGCGGUAGUUUGGACCGUGUAAUUGACACUAACAGAGUUAUAAAACACAUCCAAGAUUGCAAAAUGCAGUUCUCCUAUAUAAAUGGAAAAAGCAACAAUUCAUUAAUCCAAUUAUCCAACUAUUAAUAAUUAGCGCUAGAAGAACUCUAACAACAUUGUAUCAGUCCGAAUAUUCAACUAUUGGUACUUAGCUUUAGAAUAACUCCAACAACAUUUUGCCAAUUCAAGUAUCCAAUUAUUAAAACCCGGCAUGAGAAUAACUCUUAACAGCACUAACUAUUAAUAUUUAGCAUUAGAAUAACAACAUUUCACUAAGCAAGGGAAUAUAUAUAUAUAACAUUGCAUGGAGAUUAAUGCAUCAGACAAGGGCUUACCAAAAAGUAAAAGGGAGAAAAGGAAAGCAUCAGACAAGGGAUUAUUGUUUUCCUAGUUGUGGGUAAAAACAUUCAUGUCAAGCCAAGGAGGAGUUGAUGACCAGAUGAGACUUGCUGAAAGAUGUGCAGACAAAUGUUGACUCUUCUCUGAAUAUACCAAAGAAGGAUAUGGGAUCGAGCCUAUUUUCUAGGAUAAACAGGCUAAACAUGUAUACACCGAGGCUCAAAAUUCCAAGAUGAAGUAUAUGGAAGUAUUGGAAUUGAUGGAAAUUUGGAGUGGCUGAAUUUGCAGUAGAUGAAAUGGGUUUUGAAGAAUAUGGUCCAGAUCGUGUCGAAUAACUGCUUUGGAAUAACUGAACAGGAAUUGUGAUUGGAAUGGAGACUUGUUCCAUUAUUGGAAGAAGUCAUCUUGAUGCAAAGCUUGAUCAGACAAAAUAUCACGCAUUCAAGGGGAAGGGAAUGACCCUAUGAGCAUGCCAGAUAGCUGAGGAAGAACAUAGACUACUCUGAGAUAGAAGGAGAGCAUUCCUUUUCAACUCUUGCCCCCUGGUCACUGGUCCCGGAGGAUCUAGCAAACACUUGUUUUAGGAGGCUCUAUCUUAUUUAACCAUAUGACAGAGUUAUCAGCAAGAAUGAAAACAAAAGAAACUCCAGAAGUCAAAAAACAUGCUACAAAUUGACUCCAUGACUAAGUAAUUCUAUGGAUCUAGCUACCACCUCAGCAGAAAACUGAGAAGUCAAACAUAAAUAGAUUACAGUUUCAAAAAGUGAGACUUUUCGAAACCUGCUGAGGAUGGGGCUCUGACAAAUAACUAGAAUGAAUCAUUACUUCCAUAAACCUCGUAUUGCAAAGCCAAUCUACAAGAAGAAUCAUAGCUUUUAUUUAUCACUUCAAGUCAUCUAUAUGGUCUUCGCUCACUCCAAAGUCCAAAAUAAAUGAGAUGACAAAACAUCUAUAAGAUAAAUACAAAGUUACCAGAGAUUACGACUAUAGUACAAAUGCUAUGGAUGUAUAACUUUGUAUAACCGUUUCUAAUUUCAUGAAAUAAAUGACUACCUAUCUGGAUUAUUUCUAUAACAUUUACAUCUACAUUUCCAGUGGAAUCAACAGGGAAUCCAUAUAUCCAUAGAAAACACUAAUAGGAUUUUUUGAAGCAAAGCCACAAUGUUUGGUAUGUAAAAUGCAACUAUGAACUGAUCCAAGCAACAUUCAUCAACACAUUCCAGUGAUCAAUAUCAAGACAUGAAACGCGGACUCACCUAACAAAAACUAACUGUGUCAAAAACUAAACCUCCCUCACCUUCAUAUGAAAAUCUCUAAAACUAAGGAACAUACAGUUCUUCACAAACACUUCUCAAACUCUAAAUUUACUGCUAAACAUCUGAUCAAAAUAACAUUGCAGUGUCCUACAAAUACCUUGAAGUUAUUAAAAUACAAAAACAUAAAACUAAUUUCUAGAUAUUUAAGAGAAAAUAGUUUCUCAAAGAAGAGAAAAAAAGCGGCUCUCCACUAGAUUAAUAAAUUAAGCUUUAAACUGAAGUAUGUUGCAGGGCCAGAUCCAACCCCCAACCCAAGAAUUACAUAUAAAAAGUUUGCAAUGAAAAAAAAAAGGAGUAACCCAACAUAAAUUGCAUAGACUUGUGAAAAGAGAAGUAUCCAGAGCUAGGAAGUUUAAAUAAAAUUUGAACAAGUGACGUAAAAAGAUAAUAGAGAUGAGAAAGAUACCAUCUCAGAUUCGUUGAUAACAUCAAGACCAAGAAGUUGAAUGAUAAGUUCCUCGUUUAUUUGAUAGUUAAAUCAACAUCCAAACAGUUUAGUUCACAUUAAGUGAUCCCAAAACCAUUCUAAGGUCAUUGUUUGAAAGACAGAAGGUGAAAUUGAAUGAUAAGUCCCUCAAUUAUUUGUUACUUACUUCAAGACCUAAGAAUUCGUGUUCCCCGUACAGUGACCCCAUAACCAUUGUGGGUCACUAUAUGAAACAUGAGAGGCAAAUUUGAAUAAUAAGACCUUCUGUUAUUCACUUAUUACACCAAGAACCAAAACUACAGAUGCCAAUAUAAUGACCCCAUAACCAUUCUUUGAGAACUAUAUGAAGCAUGGAAGCUGAAAUUGAAGGAUAAGUCCCUCUGUGAUUCAUUCAUGACAUCAAGACCCAAAAAUCUGUGCACCUAUAGUGGCCAAAAAGACCCUCCAUUAUUCGUUAAUUGCAUCAAGAUCCAAAUACCUGUGAUCCCAUGCCGUGACCCAAGAAUCAUUUUAGGGUCACUAUAUGAAACAUGGGAGGUAACUGAACAAUGCGUUCUUUUUUUGGUUUAGGGUCAUGACAACCUUUCCCAUACACAGCUCUGUGUGUGUUUGUCUCUGUGUGUAUAGGGGAGAGAAAGAGGGAGGCAGGGGUUUAUCAUUAUUUUUAUUUCUAUGUAUAUGAUGCCAAAAAUAGGCUGAUUUGAUACUUAUUAGUUGGAUAUUGCUUUACAGGACUUUUGAGGUAUGUUCCUUGACUUGCUCUAUCUCCCUCCACGGCUGCAAAACUCCUUGGUUACUUGCAUAAGCUCAUGUUUCCUCAGAUAUGAGUCUUGGGAUUAAAAUAUUAAAUCACUUGUCUUAUUAGAGUUUCUUUUCAUCCCAGAAAAACAAAAUCAAUGUUGGCAUCUUUAUAGAUUUUGCAUAUCUUACAAUAUUUUAUAUAUCGGCUUUCUUUCUUCCAUAUGAUUCUUCUUUAGUAUGCAGACUCUUGAUAGUGAUAUUUUGAGAUAUAAUUAACCAAAUAGAGAAUAGAGCUAUAAAUAUGUCAUACUGAGUAAAUUAUGAUUUUGGCAAAAUUAUGAUUUACAAUGAGUAAUUUUUUUGUUUAUUUCUUAUCAUAAAAGCUUUGGUGCAAUUUGGCCCACUGCUUAGUGGAAGAAAAGUUAUAACUUCAAGACCGAGCGAGAGACAUGAUGGGCUUUGAGAUUUAUAUUCAGAGUAAGGUUCACCGUCUUGGUACUGGACCCUGUACCAGUGCCACACUGGCACUGUGUCGGUACAGUAUGAUAUGAAGAUUUUUCGGCAUGCUAAGUAUCGGUAUGCCUCCCAUACCAGGUACCGGUAUCGGUACAGUACAAUACACUUCAUACCGUCCGAUACAGCAAACCAUGGUUCAGAGUACGAAUCAUACUAAGCAGGAACCACCGAACCAUUCUGAACUGAGCAGUUUGAGGCAUACUGAACUGAACCAGUCCCUAAUCGGGACUAUUCGGAUCUUCAAAAUGGUUUAAGAGAUGAGGGUUUCAGCAGAUUUCUCCCCCAACUCCAAAUCAAGAGUACCUCUUCCCUCCCCUCUCUCUCUUUCUCUCUGAUCCUCCUCUCCCCUCUCCCUCCCUCUCCCUCUCUUCAAUCCUCCUCUCCCCUCUCCCUCUCUCUUCCUAUUCCGAUCCACCUCUCAGCCCGUCCGACAACGAUGCCUCUCCCGCUAUCUAGAGAAAAACUCUAGCACCCCUGUCCAACAACGAUGCCAUUCCUGGUGAGGACCAAGCGAGUCAUCUUCCCUCUCCCUCCCUCCCUCUUCCUCUCCUUGUUUCAAUAUGCAUCGGGUUGGUACGAUACGUACCGAUGCCAUACCGAACCAAUCCCUGGCCGGUACGACCCUCAAUAUCAACUCGGCGAACCUUGAUAUACUAAGUGAGCAAUAGUGCUGACUUAAUGAAACAUGCUCCAAACCCAAGUCUCACAGUCUGCAAAGUUGCUAAUUUGGCUUCAUAACAGAUUUAUUUUUUCUUUUUUUCACACAAUGCAAUGGACAUAGCUUGAAUCUUUGAAUUGUCAUUUAAUAGUUAGCCAAUAAACCAAAUUUAGAUCCAUGUCAUCAUAAAUUGACAUAUUUCUGUGAUUGGAUGCGGAGCUAAUAUUAACCAUCCACCUUUCUCAUCUAGGCUUGGGACCACUCAUGGCGGUGUUCUUGGAAAAUGAGGAUCCAUAUAUCCAACUCCAAAAAAUUAGGAUAAGUCUUCGAUGGUUAUGAUUAUAGUCCUUUUAUCCCAAAGAAAACUUCCUGGAUCUGCCCCUACUUAAAGUUUAAUGACAAAAUUCUUCCAUGCGUCCCUAUUAUAGUUUCAAAAGAGAAAACACGCUAGAAUUUCUUGGGACAGCAAUGAAGACUAUUUUACUUCCUUGAGAUUCACUGUAACAACUAAUUCACCUAUCAUGCAACCCUGUUUAUUUCUCUAAAUUUAGUCAGUUGUAUUGCACUUGACUUUUAUAUUUAAAUAUAUACAGAUGACCUUAUAAUACAAAAUAAAAGUAUUAUGGUAUAAUGACCAACAAUAAACUUUGGGAAAAUGUAGAAAAGGAUCACACUUAGAGUAAAUUAUGAUCACAUAAAUGCAAGAGGUUGUCUCAUCUCAACCGAUACAGAUAAAGGUAGUUAUGAAUCAUAAACCUAUAGAUAUCUAAAGAAAAAGCAAUUCUAAAAAUGAAAAAUUUAACACUGACUGUUGUCAUGCACUCACAGCAUGGAAAAAGAGAAAUAAUUAAUAUAAAGCAUCCAUAUGAUCACCAGUCAAAAACAAAAGCAAAAGGUUGUCAGAAAUGUAAGUUGAGAGUAAUGCAAACCUUCUCCUAUCUGAUAUGUUUUCUAAGCAGGCAAGGGAUGCUGUGCUUCCUGUACCAAGACCAAUCACUAUUCUAGAAUUCACAAGUCCAACUGUCUUCAUAUCAAGAGCAUGCUCCAAUGCAUCUUGUUCUUCAUGUGUUGUCACCAAAGGAAUAAACCAUAUUUCAGAAGCAGUAUUCAGUUAAUGAAUAUAUCAAAUGCUAAACAGUGCAACUCAUCGAACAAAUAAAAAAUCAUUAUGUACUAUUUGACAAGGAUUCAGAAUCCACAUGAAAAGCAUGACACUCACUCCUGAAACCACAGAUAUUCCUCAGUUGCUGCAGAUCAAUGAAAAACACUAGUAAAUAUUUCAGCUACUGCGACUGCAACUACCUGAUAAAUUAAAUGUUGGGAUAAAUGUGUUGCUCGGACUACCUAAAAGAGCAUAACUACAUCUCAUAUAAAGUUCACAUAUUAAUUCUCAUCAUUGAAUGCACAUUCCAUUUCUGGGUGAUACUCCUACCACGUGGAGCCCAACAAAACAUGACUACCUUCAUAAAUUGCCGAGAGCCAUCAGAAAAAAUUAAAUAUCAUCAGCUAGACCAUAUCCAAACAUGUUUAACUUUCCAAGAAUUGCAAAAAUUAUCCAUAGCAGUAGUAAAGGUGGAUAAGCAUCGAUCAGCCUGUUGCGGGUUCAGUCGAGCAAAUUAACACAAGGUCCCACAUUUCUCAAGCCGAAACAGAAAUCUCUCUCAUUACUAGCUGGAAUUCAGAAUUAUAUUGGGAGGAAAGCAACUGCGAUCUUCAUCUAUCACAAUUCAGCUAAUCACAUCAUGAAACUUCCAAAAAAAAAACCCACAAUUACAGCAUUGUUUUUAGCGCAAUUCCCAAAAGAAACUUAAAAGCCAAAAUCCAGAGGACUAGAGGGUAGGGUUUAAGAGGCCAACCACUUGGAUAGCUGCCGCGAUAAGGGAGCCAAUCCCUUGGUCGCCACAUCUCUCGCCUUUCCUCCUCUCUUGGCUCCAAAAUCAAUUAAAUAGAAGAGAAAUCCAUCGCCCCCGAACAAAUGCUCGAAGCUAAUGGCUCCUUGCAUCGCUAGCGCUGCCGAAAUCUAGGGUUUCGGCGGAGAAAGCUCGCACUUUUGGUUUCCUUCUAGGCUUUCGGUCCGGCCUUAAGCGACAGCUCCGGACGACGAAUCCGACUUCCGAGAUAUCGUCAGUUGGGGAGACUUUGGCCGUCUUCGGAGUUCGGAUUCUCUCCGGAACGAGACACCAAGAUACCCAGAGAACCGCGCCGACAGCGAUCUGGUGCGGGAGGCCGUACACAUUACAUCCGUGCGUAUGUCGGAAACAAAAUGCAUGGCAUGGGGAGCAACGCAGAGCGUAGAUCAAAG
rnacentral:lncRNA from 1 species